UCGAGCGGCAUGCACUGGACUUCGGUCUGGUGGCCAGUGGCGAACGGGUGAGUAAUGUAUCGGAACCUGCCCGGUAGCGGGGGAUAACUACCCGAAACCGUAGCUAAUACCGCAUACGCCCUACGGGGGAAAGUGGGGGAUCGCAAGACCUUGCACUAUUGGAGCGGCCGAUAUCGGAUUAGCUAGUUGGUGGGGUAACGGCUCACCAAGGCGACGAUCCGUAGCUGGUUUGAGAGGACGACCAGCCACACUGGGACUGAGACACGGCCCAGACUCCUACGGGAGGCAGCAGUGGGGAAUUUUGGACAAUGGGGGAAACCCUGAUCCAGCCAUCCCGCGUGUGCGAUGAAGGCCUUCGGGUUGUAAAGCACUUUUGGCAGGAAAGAAACGUCGCGGGUUAAUACCCCGCGGAACUGACGGUACCUGCAGAAUAAGCACCGGCUAACUUCGUGCCAGCAGCCGCGGUAAUACGUAGGGUGCAAGCGUUAAUCGGAAUUACUGGGCGUAAAGCGUGCGCAGGCGGUUCGGAAAGAAAGAUGUGAAAUCCCAGAGCUUAACUUUGGAACUGCAUUUUUAACUACCGGGCUAGAGUGUGUCAGAGGGAGGUGGAAUUCCGCGUGUAGCAGUGAAAUGCGUAGAUAUGCGGAGGAACACCGAUGGCGAAAGGCAGCCUCCUGGGAUAACACUGACGCUCAUGCACGAAAGC
rnacentral:rRNA from 1 species